ensembl:snoRNA small nucleolar RNA SNORA13
UGCCUUUGUGUUGCCCAUUCACAGUACUCUUUGUGAACAGGGUGUCAUCUAAGGCAUACAGUAACUCUUGUAGAUGUGACAGAAAUGCCUUAUCAGUGAUGCUUUUCUACACAAUCUGCCAGCACACAC